CCGUCUCCUCACAACUGUCAAUCUACAAAAUUGUGAUACAAUUCAAUCUGAUUAGUUUAUGAAAUAACAUAUGUUAUUUGUAACAUUUAUCACAAAUUUAGCAAUAUACAAUGAAUCCUAAACCAGAAGUAAACCCUAUACCUUAAAAGAAAAUCAAAGUAUCCCUAAAUCGAGUAUUUAUAUUUUUACAUUAUAUUUGAAUUUUGUAAAAAAAAGUAUCCCAAGAUUUUUAAAACACGCAACUAUAAUAUAUUUCUGUUUUAACAUAUCUGAACCAUCAGAAUCUCCUUCUGAAAAUGACCUUCGGUGCUCUAAAUCUUUUUGUUAGUUAACCCAUUUUUACUUCAAAAUUUGAAUAUUUAUAUUAUAUCCGAAUAUUUUUAAAAUCAAUAAUCAAGAUUUUAUAGAAAUUAUUUAUUUUCUUAACUUAUUAUACAAGAUUCUUAUUCACUAUAUAUAACCCAACCGAACACCCUUGGAUACAAAAAGGAAAACUCUAAACAUCUCGAUACUUUAAUAGCACCUCCUAAGAAAAUUAGUAGCCAAACUGAUGUCAAACCUUUAAAAAUACGAUGGUAGAUUCAAGAAAGAUCUGGAAGCAAUUUAGUGCUCAAUAUGGCAAGAGUUUAAGAUUAUUCUCGCAGAUCAAAAUGGAACAAAAAUACAUGCAACAUUUUUUUAUAAAAGGCCUUCAAAAGAUACAUGCAACAUUGAAACAUAUUUCUUGAUUGAAUUCAUUGGACAAGCCAUGGACGUUGGUGAAAUUAAUCCUUUGUUGUGGAAAAGAGAUAACAAAAAAUAGAGUUCAAUCAUAGAGAUUAUGGGUUUUUUUAACUAAUACUGUCAUAUUUUUAUCCCUGUUGUAUAGUGUAUCCAUCUUGAGAUGGAUUUGAUAUUGCAAGCAGUACUAACAAUAUCAAAAAUAUUGUUUUAGUGAUAACUUUUUCCACUAAGUUA